ACCUGUCAUUAAACAGGGUGAACCUGUCAUUAAACCCUCCUCUGAAGAUGUAAAGAUCAAGUGUUGCAUUUCUCCCUAAUCUUCCCAGGGGAGACUGAGUGAACAUAUUGCUUUCCCAUUUUUAAAUGUAACAGUUGAUGCAACAGUGAAAUGGGAAGAGAGCCACACGUCUGUUGCCCAACAACUCUGGGGAGAUGGCUGUGUGAGAAGGCUGGGCAGUUCUUACAAAACAGGGAGUCAGUCAUUCACUGUUGCCAGGGUGCACAGGCAGAAUGGCAAUGGAGGAAGAAAGAGUUUGGUGUUUUGUUAGCAAGUAGAAGAACUAAACCAUCAGUACUGGUGACUGAACAGGCUUUUGUGGAUACUGGGCGAUUGUUCUGCUGUGGGACAGCAUCUCCAGCAAAUGCUGAAGUCGUUAAAAUAUUCACACAAUCACACUGCUUCAUAUAACCUAACAGCGAGCUCUGGGCUUCUCUGAAACUUGCAAAGUAAAAGGUACUUUGUACCAGUAUCUAAGCUACCUUCUGUAUAGAUCCUGUUUCUGGGGAUAAAAACAUUUAUAAAUGAGAAAAUGCAAAAGAAUUGUUUUCCUUUGAGGAAAACACAAGAAAAUCACGACAAUACCGGGGGAAAGCCAAUGAGUAGACUGACAGAAUUUUCCACGAGGAAGAAGUGGGAGUUUUACUCCUUAAGUUGAAGGAAAAGCGUUUGGGGUAGGGGCAUUGCUUGUCAAGUGCGCGAUCGCAGUCACCAGCACCAAGGACAGCGACAACCCAUCCUGCUGGGCCGGGUGGUCCUUAUCCUCAGCAAACAAUUCUAGGGGCACCAACUUUGAUGGUUUAAUGCCCCCUCCCCCACCUGCCACCACCUGUAAUCCCAGCAUCCAGGAAGCUGUGGCAGGAGGACUGUGGCAAGUUUAAGGCCAGCCUGGACUACAGGGUGAGGCCUUGUUUUAAAAGAUCACAAGCAAAAUAACAGGAAACGCCCAUAAAGAAACUCAGUGGGCUUUCCCCACAAAAGCCAACCUGCUCAACUUGUUUUCCAGGUAUUAUUGUAUUAUGUAACAUUAUCUCUAUAAAGAAUAAUAGUCACUAUAUUUGAAAGAAGGAAAACAAACAAACAAACAAACAAAUAUUCUAUUUCCUGUUCCAAGUGGCUUACAAGUACUAUUGCAUUCUCCUUCCUUAAGGGUCCUAUGUAACACACACAGGUAUCAAAACUUUACAGAUAAGACAGAACAAUGAGAAAAAUAAGGAACUUGUGCAUUCCCUAGUCAUUGGAGGUGGGAUCGGAGCUGUGUGGCUUCAGAGCCUCUGCUAUCUCCACACUAAGUAGUGUGUAGCAGCGUCUGUCUAUGGUAGGCUCCAAAGGAAAGAAGCAAUACAAUGGCAAACAAUUAUUUUCUACACUACUUUUUUUUCCCAGAUAGAUCACACCAUAGCCACCCAUAAUAGACUCAAAGAAUGGUAUUUCGUAUGGACUACCGAUAUGAUAUGCAUUUGUCUCCAACAACAGAGUGAAAUCAUCAAGUAUUUGAUAUGUCUCCGGAGCCCAGGUGGUUCCAGGAUGAAGGACAACCUGGUGUGUGUGACCCAGAAUCAGUGAGAGAUGAAUCAGGAUGGGGCAUGGUUCCAACAGAAAUAUGUUAGCUGUAUCUUGGUCAAGUGCAGGACUCAUUAAGUGAGGAGAAAGAAAAAAAAAAAAACAAAUGAUAAACUGGCUUUAAAUUUGGAGAUCAGGAGGAGGGAGUGAGUACAAUGAGUUCUAGUAUUGUAUAUCGUGAAGAUCACCGAGGAUUUCUUUUUUUUUUUUAUUAACUUGAGUAUUUCUUAUAUACAUUUCGAGUGUUAUUUCCUUUCCCGGUUUCCGGACAAACAUACUCCUCCCCCCUCCCCUUCUUUAUGGGCGUUCCCCUCCCCCUCCUCCCCCCUUGCCGCCCUCCCCCCAACAAUCUAGUUCACUGGGGGUUCAGUCUUAGCAGGACCUAGGGCUUCCCCUUCCACUGGUGCUCUUACUAGGAUAUUUAUUGCUACCUAUGAGGUCAGAGUCCAGGGUCAGUCCAUGUUUAGUCUUUAGGUAGUGGCUUAGUCCCUGGAAGCUCUGGUUGCUUGGUGUUGUUGUACCUAUGGGGUCUCGAGUCCCUUCAAGCUCUUCCAGUUCUUUCUCUGAUUCCUUCAGUGGGGGUCCUGUUCUCAAUUCAGUGGUUUGCUGUAUUCUGGCUGUGUCUCUCGGGAGAGAUCUACAUCCGGCUCCUGUUGGCCUGCACUUCUUUGCUUCAUCCAUCUUGUCUAAUUGGAUGACUGUAUAUGCAUGGGCCACAUGUGGGGCAGGCUCUGAAUGGGUGUUCCUUCUGUGUCUGUUUUAAUCUUUGCCUCUCUAUUCCCUGCCAAGGGUAUUCUUGUUCCCCUUUUAAAGAAGGAGUGAAGCAUUCACAUUUUGAUCAUCCGUCUUGAGUUUCAUUUGUUCUAGGCAUCUAGGGUAAUUCAAGCAUUUGGGCUAAUAGCCACUUAUCAAUGAGUGCAUACCAUGUGUGUUUUUCUGUGAUUGGGUUACCUCACUCAGGAUGAUAUUUUCCAGUUCCGACCAUUUGUCUACGAAUUUCAUAAAGUCAUUGUUUUUGAUAGCUGAGUAAUAUUCCAUUGUGUAGAUGUACCACAUUUUCUGUAUCCAUUCCUCUGUUGAAGGGCAUCCGGGUUCUUUCCAGCUUCUGGCUACUAUAAAUAAGGCUGCGAUGAACAUAGUGGAGCAUGUGUCUUUUUUAUAUGUUGGGGCAUCUUUUGGGUAUAUGCCCAAGAGAGGUAUAGCUGGAUCCUCAGGCAGUUCAAUGUCCAAUUUUCUGAGGAUCCUCCAGACUGAUUUCCAGAAUGGUUGUACCAGUUUGCAAUCCCACCAACAAUGGAGGAGUGUUCCUCUUUCUCCACAUCCUCGCCAGCAUCUGCUGUCACCUGAGUUUUUGAUCUUAGCCAUUCUCACUGGUGUGAGGUGAAAUCUCAGGGUUGUUUUGAUUUGCAUUUCCCUUAUGACUAAAGAUGUUGAACAUUUCUUUAGGUGUUUCUCAGCCAUUCCGCAUUCCUCAGCUGUGAAUUCUUUGUUUAGCUCUGAACCCCAUUUUUUAAUAGGGUUAUUUGUCUCCCUGCGGUCUAACUUCUUGAGUUCUUUGUAUAUUUUGGAUAUAAGGCCUCUAUCUGUUGUAGGAUUGGUAAAGAUCUUUUCCCAAUCUGUUGGUUGCCGUUUUGUCCUAACCACAGUGUCCUUUGCCUUACAGAAGCUUUGCAGUUUUAUGAGAUCCCAUUUGUCGAUUCUUGAUCUUAGAGCAUAAGCCAUUGGUGUUUUGUUCAGGAAAUUUUUUCCAGUGCCCAUGUGUUCCAGAUGCUUCCCUAGUUUUUCUUUUAUUAGUUUGAGUGUAUCUGGUUUGAUGUGGAGGUCCUUGAUCCACUUGGACUUAAGCUUUGUACAGGGUGAUAAGCAUGGAUCGAUCUGCAUUCUUCUACAUGUUGACCUCCAGUUGAACCAGCACCAUUUGCUGAAAAUGCUAUCUUUUUUCCAUUGGAUGGUUUUGGCUCUUUUGUCAAAAAUCAAGUGACCAUAGGUGUGUGGGUUCAUUUCUGGGUCUUCAAUUCUGUUCCAUUGGUCUAUCUGUCUGUCUCUGUACCAAUACCAUGCAGUUUCUAUCACUAUUUCUCUGUAAUACUGCUUGAGUUCAGGGAUAGGAUUUUUAUGUGCUAGUUGGUGACACUAGAUACGGACUCACCAUAAAAGUGUGAUUAGAAGUAGGUAAGUGUCCAUGAGGAGUAGUAAUGCAACAGUGCCUGCCAUUUGUAUGGUCUAGUACAGUAUUCCCAAGUGAGGAGAGAAAGAAAUACAGAAUCAUUUCUGGGGUGUUUUCAAAUUAUAUACAACCAGCCUCCUUUUUAGGAAACUUGGCUUUUCUCUAUUCUCUUAGUUGGUAAUUCUUUUUUAAAAAGAUUUAUUUAUUUUUAUUUAUACGAGUACACUGUAGCUGUCUUCAGACACACACCAGAAGAGGGCAUCAGAUCUCAUCACAGAUGGUUGUGAGCCAUCAUGUGAUUGCUGGGAUUUGAACUCGGGACCUCUGGAAGAGCAGUCAGUGCUCUAACCGCUGAGCCGUCUCUCCGGCCCCCAGGUGGUAAUUCUUACUCCAGGAUUCACACUACAUCCCAUCUUGUGUCUUUUAUGUCAUGAUGUUCUUUGCUUCUUCCCUCCCCGCUUCUUGUCCUGGACUUUUGAGACCGGGUCACACAGAGUUGCUCAGCCUGGCCUUGUAAAUCCCAGGCUGCUCUUCAACUUUCCACCACGCUGUCUCAGCCUCCUACGUGCCCGGAUUAUAGGAUGUUUCACCAUCACUGACUUCUCUGAUAAUCUGUCAUAUCUUUAGGGGGUCGAGGGAUAGUGGUAUCUUGACUUGACUUCUUCAUUUUCCAGGGGCACCAGCUCUAAAGAGGACAUGUUCGUCUUCAAUACCUGGUCAUCUAUAUACGAGAGGGUGAAGACAGGCACUGUUUUUAAAUUCAUAUGUAUAAAGACUCAGAACUUCAGGAAGGAGUGUAUUGUAUAUUAAACAGCUGGUAAAUUGGGCUGUGUAUAAAACACAGAACUAUUACUUGCCCACUUCUCCAAGGCUAAGGGCCUGGGCUGGAUGUUUAAGGAAGCAAAAUGGGACGGUCUUCCUCAAGAGGCUCAAAGUCCAGAACUGCACACCUCUCUUCCCUCUGACAUAGAUGUUCCAGACACUGAUAAAGCUGCCAUGCUCACUGUGCCAGCCCUGUCAGUUACUUCAGAUGCUCUCUCCUUAAUGGCCAUUCCAAAUGGGCAGUAGUGAUCAUGGUUCUACAAGAGGAACCAAAUAUUGGAAACUGACUGAGCCGAGAUCCAAGAGGCAGGCAUAUCAAGAGCUCUUGACUGGCAUCUUCUCACUUCCCAGCAAGUAUCCUUUCUCCUGAAUUGUCCUGACCGCACCUUUUAUACCAAGAUGUGUUGAUUACACCCAGAGACCAAAGGACAUCUUGAUUUGAUUCCCUGAGCUGAAUGCUUCUCAUGUUCCAGGCAGUGUGACAAUGUCUCUCACGUGAGAAGGGGUCUUUAUCAUGUAGCUCUGAAUGUCCUGGAACUUGCUACUGAGACCACACUGGCUUCGACCUCAUGGAGAUCUACCUGUCUCUGCUUCCUGAAUACAGGGAUGAAAGGAAUUUCACAUGGAACCUUUACUAAGGAAUCGUUCCUCCUUUGGUGCUCUUUUCAAGCUUGUAAAUGGUAUCAGCUCUGCAGAAGAUAAGCCGUGUGUGGAUGUGCCAUAUGCUAACUUUUGGUUUUCCAUCCAGUGACGGAAGGAUACUUUAGUUUUCCUUAUCACUUGCUGGUGAAGACUGUAUUUUUAAAUGGAUACUAUACAAACUAAGUCAUCACAGAAAAAGAAAGAGGCGAUACCAAGAAAGGCUUCAACAGAGCCCUUCUCUCUGCCCACAGGCAAAAGACUCCGUAAGACUAUGUGAUUUGGAUACAUCCAAGGGAUAUUCUCGUUGAAAGGUCAGCUGUGGUAUGUAGCAUCUACCUGCAUUAAUACACUGGGCCUGGGGGUGGAGAGAUGGCUCAGCUGUCAAGAACACUGGCUGUUCUUCAAAGCACUGGCCAGAAGAUCUAGAGGACCACAAGUCCCAGCACCUACAUGGCAGAUCUCAUCUGUUUGUAACUCUAGGCUCAGGGGAAUCAGAUGCCUUCUUCCGGCAUCCACAGGCACCAGGAAUACAUGUGCUGUAUAGACUUGCAUACAUGCAUGCAAAACAUACAUAUGUAGAAAAUAAUAAAUACUUCACCGGGCCUUUGUUUAGAUUUAAAUGUAAUAAUAUACCACGUAUUUAAUUUAUUUACACAAACAUAUUUUUGGAGAGCUACAGAAUUUCACACACUGGAGGAUGCUGAAGGAAUAGUAAAAUCUAAAUUACUGCUUUUACAAUGAAUGCAUUUCUAUUGGUUGAAAAUAAAUAAUGUUGGAUAAAAAAAUCAUCUUCUUUUUCACUUGUUCUGUUGAGUUAAAAAUAAAAAUAGAGUCCCCUUAAAAAGAUCCUGAACAUCCACGAGGGAGGAAACCCAAGCAUGACAGUGGGGCCAAUACACAAGCUAAGACACACACAUUGCCUCCUGUGUUUCCACUUAACUGCUCCUUGCUCUACACCACACAGCCUUUCCUGGAAGAGUUGUCAGAACAGGAUAUGAUUUGCUGAUAUUCUUCUACCAGAGAGGAAGCUUGCAUAAUUAGACCUUCACCCUCUGAACCUAAUCGAACAUGAAGCACAGCCCAUAGGAUUAAAGGGAGGGGAAACUGGUAGGGAGAACAGAUGGAAGGAGGAGGAAGUUGAUUCCAUUAGCACAUGGAAUGGUAGCCUAUGUAGUUUCUGAAUGACUUAAGACCUGCAGAAAAUGUCGUUUACUGUGCUUUGGGAUGGGAUGAAGGCCACCUCAGCUAUUGUUGACUUCUGGGUAAUUAAACACUGGAAAGAAAGAAUACAAAAGACUUCUGAACACACACACACACACACACACACACACAC